GCCACGCUCGAGUAGCUAGUAGAACGAGAGAGAGAGAAAGAAAGGAAGAGAGAGAGAGAACGAAGAAGAGGAGUUGUGGGGGGUGACCUGGUCAGUAUUGUGGUUUGCUCGCACGUAUUCCCUUCCAUCCGCCGGCACCGCAUCCCCCGCCCUUCCUCCGAUGAUGAGCUCGUGGGUCCAUGUGAUGCCUCCCACCGAAUGAGGAGGUUGGACGGCGCACCGCCAUGGGGGAGCGGUUCUGACAGCUCGAGCCUGGGGAGAUGGUUUCCCUUCUCGAGUUCCACACCCGUGAGUUCAGGCUGCCGGCGCACCCCUUCCUCCGGGGGUUUCUUCAUGACCUCCAGAUUGAGCUGCAGCAUUUCAACCCGAACGGGUUUCUGCAGCUUACAGGCUUCAUGGUGGUGUGCGAGGGCUUCCUCGGCGUCACCCCUCACGCCUCACUCUUUUGGUGGAUCUUUGAUAUCCAGAAGCGGAAGCUGAGCUCUACCGAUGAUGAGCUUAUGCCGCUGGGCGGCAUCACCAUCGAGAUGCGCCUCUGGUACCCGGACAAGUAUCUGAAGAUUCGGGUGAAUGACUCCAACCGCAGAUGGCAUACCAACUGGUUCUUCAUCUGUGAUCCUGGCUAUGGCCUCGAGGAGGGUGCCAGCAAGCUGUCGGCGUUCACCGGAGGAUCCCCGGUGUGGCAGGAGUCCUGGAGGUGGGGCUGUUCGGAGCCCAACAGGGACAAGGUGGAUGCCAUCAUCGAGGUGGUGGCAGAGAGGGUGUGAGCCGGGGUGUUCGGCGUGGGGGUUGUCUGGAGCUUCAUCGAGUAGCAAAUGUUGCCACUGAAGAGGAGGGCCCACCACUUCUUCGAGUACUCCGGUGAAAUGGACAACUCUCGGGAGUGCCCAAAGGUUCUCCCCCACCAUGAGAUUUCGGCACGGGUGUAAGAGCUCAUCGACAUCCAGGUGGCGGUGGCCGCUGCCCUGCCGGGGCACCCGCGGGCCUUUGCGGGGAACUUCCCUAUAGACCUAGGCCUCGGGAAGCCAGUGUCCCUGUUCUGUGAUCCGAACAGCAACCCCGGGGGCACCGAACCGGCCACCACCAAGUUUCGCACCACUCAAGAGCGGCGGCGCAAGCACGAUAGGGAGAUGAGCAUGUGCGAGAAAGAGAUUCGUGAGAGUGCGAAGCUACACUGCACGUGCCGUGAUGCUGGGUUGCCCUCCGACGAUGAGGAGGAGGAGGAGGAUGAUGACGACGUGGGCGAGGGCGAAAGCGGGAGCAACGACAUGCCUUGCCUCGAUGACCUUUUUGACCAGAGGGUCCUUUGUGCUUCACAGGAGGGCCUUCUCGAGCUCUCCCUCCAACCUCUUACGAGGAGGAGGUCAGGAUCGGAGCGGGGGAAGGUGGGGGCACGGCCCCGGCACAAGAUCGAGUGUCCCAGAAGCGGGCCACUAUCAACUUGGGCGCCGUGAUGAGCACAAAGCGCAUCCGAGCUUUUUUCAGCCGGGGGGCCGACCGGCCCUCCUCGUGCUCGAACGGCUAGCACUUCAGCAGGUCACGGUUGCCGACUGGCUGGGGCUGUGGAUCGGGAGCCCCUGAGCAGCUUCUGCCACCACUGCUCGGCGUCCCACCAAGCACGACGAGGAGGUUGGUGCCCUUCUCUUCCUUCACCUGUAGGGUAGGCUCGGAGACCGGUGACCACCAGUCUAUCAUGGCAAGUGCGCUCUUAGCGGGCGGAGGCUCGGAUGAGGCUCCUGGUGCCGGCGGGAGCUCCGCGCCAACACCGAAAUCCCAAGUACCGGAGGGCGCGGUAACCACAACCAUCCCGCCAAGAUCAGAGGUGAUAGAUGUGGCUCCACAGCCUCAGGAGCUCGGGGCUGCCACCACAUCCUCCCAAUCCGUGGGAGGUCGGGCCGUACCUUGUGAAGUUCCCGAGGACAUCCCUCGGGAUGGUGGUGCAGCUCGAAGCAUCCUGGCUCUGCCGCCACCGCCAUCUCGCCCUCAGCCGGGGCAGCAGGCCUUGCAGCACCAUACGACACCCCUCCCUUUGCGGCGAUCUGAUAGGGAGUUCGUUCCUGGUCUCAUGGUGGCGCUCGCAUCAAUUGGUUUUGUGGGACCUAUUAUCCGGCUGCCGUCAGCAACCGUCAAGGGGACGAGCACGGUGACUCCGGCGGCUCUAGUCACCCCAUCAAGCUCCCCACUUGUCAUGGUGGCUUACCCUCCGUCGCCUCUGGUCAUCACGUUACCCUUCACCACUCCUUUGGAGGAGGUCGAUGAAAGCUCGACGGCCACGGAGGGUCGUGUGGUGAGGGCGGUGUCUUCGGAGGUGGUGGUCCUGACGGACUCCAUGUCGUCAGAAGUGGCCGCUGGUCAUAGCGGUGCAGAGGUGGCCUCCAAGCAGUCCAUGAUGCUUGAUCAGGCUGUGCUCAACCACACCAUCUGACUUCAGGUGGCUUUGGCCGGGCCGGUGCUGGUGCUAGGCUGGGGCCCGAUGCUCACCUAGGAGCAACCCCGGUGCCCGGGCAAGGCGCUGAUUGCCCGUGACGAUGUACAGGAAAUGGUGUCAUGGGGGAGUGCUCUCGAGCACGGGUGUUGAGUGCGUGACGAGCUCACCAAGGCUCGGUACCUGCUUUACGCAGCCAUGGGGGCAGUGAGCAGCGCCUUUGGGGUGAUGAACGAAGAGGUUCUACCACGCGGACAGGGGCUAAUGGACCUAUCUGCGAAGAAGUUGCGAUUCCUACGCGCCACGCACCAGCUGCAGGUGGAAGAGGUCACGAGUGGGCGGAGGCUGGAGGAGGAGCUGACCGCGUCAGGGGAAGCUCGAGCUAAGGUAGAAUGGCUGCAGGCGGUCCUAGCUAUGGCCAGGUUGGACGAGGAAUCGGCCUGGGAAUUAGAGCAGCACACCCUCCUUGUCGCUGCCGAGAUGGCGUUGGUGGCCGAGGUCGUGAAGGAAGAUGCCCAGGAGCGUGCUACUUUGGAGGUGGAUCUGGAAGCUAAGUGGGCCCACUGGGCUGAGGAGACGACGGUGUGUAUUGCUGCAUUGGAGCAUUCUGCGCAGAAGGUGGAGAUUGUGUGCACUGCGGCGGAGUGAGCACGCCAUCGACGUGGAGGCUCAGACUCUCCGUGAGUCCUAUAAAGGCUUGCGCACCGAGCUGGCCGCUAUGACCGAGCAGUGGGUGGCAGCAAGCACUCAUCUGCAAGGAGUGUCCUGGGACCUCGAGUCAGUUUGGGGCGCGUCGGAGGUGCUCUGGGCCCACCUAUUCAUGGUUGUGGUGCCCGAGGGACCACUUGCGGAGUGACUUUAGGCGGCACAUGGUCGGGUGGAUGACCUAAUCAUGGAGGUGCUCCACCAGGGUGCCCAUACCGCUUUCACCUUGGUGGCCACACACUACGAUGGUGUGGACUUCUCUACCAUUGGGAGCGGCUACGCGAGGAACCGCACCUCCUAGGAGCUGACGCAGCUCAUGGAGAUGGUAGCUCCAGGCAUGCAGUAGGAGGUCGGGCAGAUCUCGCCAGCUGUGAUCUGAGGCGAAGUCCCUCCCGAAGCCCCUGCGGAGUAGUUGCUUAAGUUUUCGCUUUCUAGCAUUAAAUCCAGAUUAUGUAAUGAACUUAAAUGCUUUUGGCUGUCACUUUGUCACGGAUUUGUUUUGACAUUGGUUCCUC